rnacentral:rRNA from 1 species
AAAGUGAAUAGUGAAAUCUGGGGGCUCAACCUCCAGGCUAUUAUUCAAACUCACAGACUCGAGAAUGGUAGAGGUAACUGGAAUUUCUUGUGUAGGAGUGAAAUCCGUAGAUAUAAGAAGGAACACCAAUGGCGUAGGCAGGUUACUAGACCAUUUCUGACACUGAGGCACGAAAGCGUGGGGAGCGAACCGGAUUAGAUACCCGGGUAGUCCACGCCGUAAACGAUGGAUACUA